rnacentral:rRNA from 1 species
AUCAAUAAGCGGAGGAAAAGAAACUAACAAGGAUUCCCCUAGUAACUGCGAGUGAAGCGGGAAAAGCUCAAAUUUGAAAUCUGGCAGUCUCUGAUUGUCCGAGUUGUAAUCUAGAGAAGUGUUACCCGCGUUGGACCGUGUACAAGUCUCCUGGAAUGGAGCGUCAUAGAGGGUGAGAAUCCCGUCUUUGACACGGACUCCCAAGGCUUUGUGGUGCGCUCUCAAAGAGUCGAGUUGUUUGGGAAUGCAGCUCAAAAUGGGUGGUAAAUGCCAUCUAAAGCUAAAUAUAGGCGAGAGACCGAUAGCGAACAAGUACCGUGAGGGAAAGAUGAAAAGAACUUUGGAAAGAGAGUUAAACAGUAYGUGAAAUUGCUGAAAGGGAAACGCUUGAAGUCAGUCGCGUUGGCUGGAAAUCAACCUUGCUUUUGUUGGGUGUACUUUCCAGUUGACGGGUCAGCAUCAGUUUUGACCAGUGGAAAAAGGCGUAGGAAAUGUGGCUUCUUCGGAAGUGUUAUAGUCCUGCGUUGUAUACAUUGGUUGGGACUGAGGAACUCAGCACGCCGAAAGGCCGGGGCUCGCCCACGUACGUGCUUAGGAUGCUGGCAAAAUGGCUUUAAUCGACCCGUCUUGAAACACGGACCAAGGAGUCUAACAUGCCUGCGAGUGUUUGGGUGGYAAACCCGAGCGCGCAAUGAAAGUGAAAGUUGAGAUCCCUGUCGUGGGGAGCAUCGACGCCCUGACCAGACCUUCUGUGACGGAUCAGCGGUAGAGCAUGUAUGUUGGGACCCGAAAGAUGGUGAACUAUGCCUGAAUAGGGUGAAGCCAGAGGAAACUCUGGUGGAGGCUCGUAGCGAUUCUGACGUGCAAAUCGAUCGUCAAAUUUGGGUAUAGGGGCGAAAGACUAAUCGAACCAUCUAGUAGCUGGUUCC